rnacentral:rRNA from 1 species
CAGAUCUAGCCCUACAUAAUCCACAACUCAACUAGCACUAUCCCAGAAAUCAAAUCAUUUACCACAUAAAAGUAUAUGCGAUAGAAAUUAUAAACAGGCGCCAUAGAGAAAGUACCGCACGGGAAGAUGAAAGAAGAACUAACAGCAUAAAACAGCAAAG